UACGUAGGGGGCAAGCGUUGUCCGGAAUUAUUGGGCGUAAAGCGCGCGGCAGGCGGCUAUUUAAGUCUGGUGUUUAAACCUUGGGCUCCAACCUGGGGUCGCACUGGAAACUGGGUGGCUUGAGUACGAGAAGAGGAAAGUGGAAUUCCACGUGUGAGCGGUGGAAAUGACGUAGAGAUGUGGAGGAACACCAGUGGCGAAGGUCGACUCUCUGGACGGCAACUGACGCUGAGGCACGAAAGCGUGGGGAGCAAACAGGG
rnacentral:rRNA from 1 species